rnacentral:rRNA from 1 species
AAAUUGAAGAGUUUGAUCAUGGCUCAGAUUGAACGCUGGCGGCAGGCCUAACACAUGCAAGUCGAACGGUAACAGGAAGAAGCUUGCUUCUUUGCUGACGAGUGGCGGACGGGUGAGUAAUGUCUGGGAAACUGCCUGAUGGAGGGGGAUAACUACUGGAAACGGUAGCUAAUACCGCAUAACGUCGCAAGACCAAAGAGGGGGACCUUCGGGCCUCUUGCCAUCGGAUGUGCCCAGAUGGGAUUAGCUAGUAGGUGGGGUAACGGCUCACCUAGGCGACGAUCCCUAGCUGGUCUGAGAGGAUGACCAGCCACACUGGAACUGAGACACGGUCCAGACUCCUACGGGAGGCAGCAGUGGGGAAUAUUGCACAAUGGGCGCAAGCCUGAUGCAGCCAUGCCGCGUGUAUGAAGAAGGCCUUCGGGUUGUAAAGUACUUUCAGCGGGGA